rnacentral:rRNA from 1 species
AUGCACGCUGGCGGUAUGCUUAACACAUGCCAGUCGAACGGACUCUUCGGAGUUAGUGGCGGACGGGUGAGUAACGCGUGCGAAUCUGGCUUUGGGUUCGGGACAACCACUGGAAACGGUGGCUAAUACCGGAUGUGCCGAGAGGUAAAAGAGAAAUUGCCUGAAGAUGAGCUCGCGUCUGAUUAGCUAGUUGGUGGGGUAAAGGCUCACCAAGGCAGCGAUCAGUAGCUGGUCUGAGAGGAUGACCAGCCACACUGGGACUGAGACACGGCCCAGACUCCUACGGGAGGCAGCAGUGGGGAAUUUUCCGCAAUGGGCGAAAGCCUGACGGAGCAAUACCGCGUGAGGGAAGAAGGCUCUUGGGUUGUAAACCUCUUUUCUUAGGGAAGAACAAAAUGACGGUACCUAAGGAAUCAGCAUCGGCUAACUCCGUG